rnacentral:rRNA from 1 species
CCCUUAGAUGUCCUGGGCCGCACGCGCGCUACACUGAGUGUCUGAGAUACGAGUCUGCCUGGUCCGGCAAGGUCUAGGUAAUCGCUAAAAGACACAUCAUGCUUGGGAUAGAUUAUUGCAAAUAUUAAUCUUGAACGAGGAAUUCCUAGUAAGCGCAAGUCAACAGCUUGCGUUGAUUACGUCCCUGCCCUUUGUACACACCGCCCGUCGCUACUACUGAUUGGAUGUUUAAGCGAGGUUCUCGAACUGCUAGCGACUUAGCUUCGGUGAGGUCGCAGUGUGGGAAGUGAACCUAGCUUUGGUGCCUAGAGGAAGUAAAAGUCGUAACA